rnacentral:misc_RNA from 1 species
GAAAUGCGAUAAUUAAUGUGAAUUGCAGAAUUCAGUGAAUCAUCGAGUCUUUGAACGCACAUUGCGCCCCCUGGUAUUCCGGGGGGCAUGCCUGUCCGAGCGUCAUUGCUGCCCUCAAGCACGGCUUGUGUGUUGGGCUUCCGUCCCUGGCAACGGGGACGGGCCCAAAAGGCAGUGGCGGCACCAUGUCUGGUCCUCGAGCGUAUGGGGUUUUGUCACCCGCUCCCGUAGGUCCAGCUGGCAGCUAGCCUCGCAACCAAUCUUUUUAACCAGGUUGACCUCGGAUCAGGUAGGGAUACCCGCUGAACUUAAGC